AGAAGUCGUAACAAGGUUUCCGUAGCUGAACCUGCGGAAGGAUCAUUGUCAUAGCCUCCGAACGACCCGCGAACCAUUGGCACCGCUAGUCGAUCGGCGCGGGAGGCCACCCGGCCCCCCGCAGCCGAGGAACAAAACCCGGCGCGUCGAGCGCCAAGGAAUCUGUAUCAGAACGGAAACGGCACGUCGGGCGGCUGGCCCGCUCGGCGGCGUCGCUCUUUCGAAUACCUUAACGACUCUCGGCAACGGAUAUCUCGGCUCUCGCAUCGAUGAAGAACGUAGCGAAAUGCGAUACUUGGUGUGAAUUGCAGAAUCCCGUGAACCAUCGAGUCUUUGAACGCAAGUUGCGCCCGAGACUUCUGUCGAGGGCACGUCUGCCUGGGCGUCACGCGACGCACCACCACCCACCCUUCGCGUGGGAGUGGAGAUUGGCCUCCCGCGACGAGCUCGCGGUUGGCUGAAAUAUCAGCCCCGACUCCUGGACGACGCGAUCAGCGGUGGUUGAUGGGAACCCUCGUCAAGCAAGUGACGCGCUCGGACCGGAACGAAUCGGGGCGGAGCACCCCUUCGACAUACCUUGCGACCCCAGGUCAGGCGGGGCCACCCGCUGAGUUUAAGCAUAUCAAUAAGCGGAGAAA
rnacentral:rRNA from 1 species